GACGAACGCUGGCGGCGUGCUUAACACAUGCAAGUCGAGCGGUAAGGCCCUUUCGUGGGUACACGAGCGGCGAACGGGUGAGUAACACGUGGGUGACCUGCCCUCAGCUCUGGGAUAAGCCUGGGAAACCGGGUCUAAUACCGGAUAUGACUCCAUGACGCAUGUUGUGGGGUGGAAAGCCUUGUGCGGCUGAGGAUGGGCCCGCGGCCUAUCAGCUUGUUGGUGGGGUGANGGCCUACCAAGGCGACGACGGGUAGCCGGCCUGAGAGGGCGACCGGCCACACUGGGACUGAGACACGGCCCAGACUCCUACGGGAGGCAGCAGUGGGGAAUCUUGCGCAAUGGGCGAAAGCCUGACGCAGCGACGCCGCGUGAGGGAUGACGGCCUGGU
rnacentral:rRNA from 1 species